rnacentral:lncRNA from 1 species
GCUGAUUCUCCCCACCUCCUCAACAUGUACCUCGACGUUAGUUAAAUCUCUUCAUAUCCCUCCUCUCUUUUCUCUAUUUAGGCCAAUGGAGGUGAUACACAUUCACAUGGGGAAGAGCCUGAGGAUAAAGGGGAGCGCAAAAUAUCAUUUGCAAAUUGGUCAAUCAGUCAACUAAUAUCUAUGGACUAUUAAAUCUGAGUGGAACUAUACAUUCGCAAAGACAAAGGAAGCAGCCCAGGCUGACCUGAUGGAGGAUGAAUGGAGUAGAACGGAGACAUCCUGGAACAGCCACCGCCUCGCUGACCUGAUAGACAUCUGCAGAUUCAUCAGUGGGAGCUAAACCUGGAAUACACAUAGACAUAAACGUGGGAACAAUAAACCCUGCAAACUACUAGAAAAGGGAGGAAUGGAAGGAAGAGGAU